ACAGGAGGCUGGAGCGGAGAGGAGGGGAGGAGUUACAAGGGCUCCAUCCGGAUGGACGCGCUGCACCGCCCGCUUCCUUUGCCCGGGAGAGGCUGCUCUCAGCGGAGCCCUUUGCUAGGGACCUGUCUGCCGGAAGGGAGCUGGCAGUGAGGUAAAGGAGAACAGAGGUUCUGUGACUGUAACUCGUUGUAGAGAAGAUUGGGACCACACUAAAAUCUCUGGAUCCAAAAAAUACCUAGGAUAUGAAGAAGUCGUCUACGGACAGUGCAGUGUGGAGUAACUUCCCAAACAUGAGCAUGCAUCAGUUUGUCUUCCAGGAACAAACUAGUCCUGCAAAGAGAAAAUAAAACAACCACUGGAUGAGUGAGUACUGCAGACCGCUGUCAUUCAUCACAUCAACAGAUUCUCUCGUCUUUUGGAACCACAGGUGGAUUGACAUGCUGUGGACAAGCUAGGCAAAAGGCUUCUUCCACUCCUCCCACCCCACACCAGGGAUCCAUCAGGGGUCUCUCUCCACUCCACCCUGAAGCCUUAGAUGGUCAGCAUUGUGAAGGGGAAAAGCAAAAAGCUGUCUCAGCCUUAACGGUAUAGGUCUUUCUGCCUCCACUGUAAAGCCUGAUUAGCUGAGCUGGCAGUCCCUAAAGUUGAAGCCAGUCAACCAUUCCCGAUUUUGGGUUCAGGUCUAGAACGUUAAUAACCCUGUCAUUUCAGAGUGGCAAGUUUUGUUGUCUAAUUCCUGUACUGGAGCAGCAAAAGCUGGCACUUCUUACAAACUUCUUGAAGUUCGCUCUCCUUUUAAGCAACUUCCUGUGGCCCUUAUGCCUUUCUAAAGUUGCCAUCACCAUAUCCCUAUGCUGCUCCCUGAGUCUACUCUACUCUCACUCCUGUUUAGCUCCGUAUGUAUCUGUAGGGUACAAGUCAUGUAGACUCCAAGGUGCGUAAUGUUCCAGCUAAGUAUUAUACAAUAAAGUUGAUAGUUUUUUGGCAGAACAACAUGAAAAUAUUUUUGCUUAAAGGGACUAUCAUGUUUAAAUAGGACUUUUGGCAGCUGUAAUCUAGUCUUAAAAAUAAAAUAUUAACAUGGGAAAGGAAGGAUGACAUCUAGGUAGGUAUUGGGGGCUCCAAGUAUUUAAAGCAUAGUUCUGCUAUGAAACCAUUUCUGUAAAAGUGGCACCUUUUUUACAUGCAGGGAACAGAUAUGUUAAGUUUUAAGAGUCAUAGCUACUUAUGUGAGCCACAGAAAUGAGUUUUUACUCCUACAGAGUCAACACAGCUCUGAACAAGUGAGCUGGAUUACAUUCUGGCUCAUGCAUUGUGAGCAGAAACGUUGCAUAAAUUCCAACUGUUGGACCAAAUUCUGCCCCCUCUAACAUCUGUACAAUCCUGGCACAGCAGGCCUCUUGUGUGCUUUCUACACUCAUGUGAAUUUUGGCCCAUGUGAGGAAUGUUAGAUUUCUGAAAAGUUACCUGCCUGGGUUUGUGUGCAUUAUUUUUCUGUUAUGCAGGUUGGUGUUUUUAAAAGACACUCUGCAUGAAUAAAUAAAAAAUAGAAAAAUAAACUUCUGCAGCACGUGGCUGUGGCAUCUCAGUGAUACUUUCAACAGCUCAGAUCAGUCAAGCAAUCAAAGGGCAAGACAGAGUAGGCAUGCCUUUGCUUUGCCUGUUGUAAAAAAAUCAAACUCAGACUUUGCACCAAGCAGAGUUCUAAGUUAUAAAAAAGUUCUGUUGAUAUCAUUGUAUUAUAGAGAGCACUUUAUCUAAGCUGCCUCUUGAAACCCAUGAUCGGGCCAUUAGCUGUAUCAUAUAAGAGUGUGUAUAGUCUAUUAAUCCCGCACUGUUUGAGUAGAACUUUCAAUAAAAGCAGACCAGUUAAUGCUAGUGCUAAACAUUUCAUUAAUAAAUUUCUGUGCAGUCUCUAAAAUGCUUGUGGGAGAAGCACAGUAAAGUGAAUAAGGACUGUAUAGUCUCAGUCUUUGCAGAUGCUGGAUCCUUCUUAAUGCAGAUGCUGUAUAUCCAGUACUAGGAAGUUCAGCUCAGUGAACUGCAGUGGUGCCGAAAAAUGAACUGUAAUGCUGAAUUAGCAAGUGAGGAGCAACAACAGACUGUUUUUUCUAUAGCGUAGUGGAAGAACUGUUUACAGUAACUGAAAUCUAAGUAGUUUACAGGAAAUCUUUUCAGAAGCCAUUAUCAGGGUUACUUUAAAAAUACACCUGCGCUCUUUAUAGCUAAAGUCUGUAUAUUCUUAAAUAUAAAGUGACCUAAAGAGCACUACUCUUCCAAAGAGUCACAUGAUCAGCGUUUGCCCACCUGCUCAUUCCAUACAUAAGCCCUCCUGAUGCUGCCAACUCCUCCUGUUCUUUUGUUUUGGGGGAGGCGCUCCCUCUUUAUUUGUUAUGUAAAGAGCCAUGCUUAUCUAUGGCUCUAUAAUUAUCAAAUGAUACUAGUUCAAAUGGCAGUGCACGUGACUGAAGUUACACACGAUGACUGAAAAUAGCAAUAGAUACUGGCUGCUUAGUGAUGCCAAAAGUGACUAAGGAACAAUUGUCCUCAAAAUCAAUUGCAAAAUGUGCCACGCAACACCUGCAUUAUGAGAAAAGAAUCAGAACUGUCCUAACCUUUAUCAGUCAGGAGUUCCUGGUGUAGUGGAUUCCCAUGGUAUUGAAAGCAGAGUCAUCUGUAACAAUGGGGGCUUUGUCCUGCACAAUUACUACCAAAGUAGCCCGAGACUUCCGUCAGACUGCUAGAAAUAUGUCUGGAGUGGGAUGAAUCUGGCAAAGCACUACUAAACCGCUGUAUUGCCAGGCCCAGGACUCUUGGACAGCUGCACAGACUGACAAUUUCAGUGCAGUGCUGAAAAAGGAAACUUUAAGGCUUCUAGAGGACUGAAAUAGCUCUGCAUAAAUUCACCAUACUACUGCGUAAAGACUCAUGAUUGUUCUACCCUCUAGAGGCAGCAAAGAGGAUAUAAGUGCUAUUAAUGAUAGCUAAUUGAGAUUUUAAAUCAGGACUGCUAUUUCUUUGGGCCCAACUCUGCAUCCCUCACCUGCUCAAAACUCCCAUUGAAAUCAAUGGGAAUUUAGGUGAGCAAGGAAUGCAAGAUUAAGUUCUAUAUUACACUUCACUUUCUAAUUUUCUGGAACAGCAGCUUAAGGUAUAAGAACAUUCACCAUUACACCUAAGUGUGCAUCAUCUUAUACAGUCUUUGUCAUGACUAUGACACCCUCUGACACCCCAUUAUGAAACUCCUCCAGUUCUUUUGCUGCACUGAGGAACAUCAGCUGACAACAUGUAUUUAUGUGUAGGCUUAAGGGUGGCAAUUUAAGACCUUCCUUUCUUGGAGAUUGCCUGAACCUUCAAACAUACUGGAGAGCUGGAACCUCAGCUACAGAAGCUGACAUGAGGCUUGUGACUUUGGUGGCAGAGAAAUCUAUGGCCUUUUCAGUGUCCCAAGUACUGAAGAGUGCCCUAAAAUUGGUCAUAGAGGGCUCCUAAAUGUGGACUGAGGCCCCUUCAGCACACGGAACCAUCCCCACAGAUAUGGAUGAUAGUAGGUAUAAAUCUGCUCUCCAGGAUACAGCAAGGCUGCUAAAAAAGAAUGAUUUGUUGAGCUGACAAGAUUGGCUCUGAAGGAUGUCUACCUAUCAUUUCCCAAAACUGCUAAAGUACCCAGAGUUCUUAUAAGACUAGUGUCCCUUUCAGUUUAUCAUUGAUUUCAUUCUACUUCACAAAGCUCCUAAGUUUACAUAGCUUUGAGGAUUAGGGGCAUCGGAGAGAUACUGGACCUAGAUGGCAUACUGAUUACCUCCCUGAAGAUAGAGCCAGUGCAGCAGGAGAAGGAUUUAAGCAAUCCACAUCCUAGAAGGGUUUGGCAUCCUUAUGAUAAUGUAAAAAUAUUACACAGCCUUACAAGAAAUAAGAACUCAUGGUCUCCCAGAAAAGGAAAUGUUCAAACUUCCCCUGUAAACAGAGGACUA